GUACCAAAAAUUCAAUAUAUCUAACCUGUACACUCUGCGUAAGAUUCUUUCCGAAACCAAUAAGUAGCUGACCAAGACCUUCGGCCCGUUACAAUUCACGGAUUUCUAAGAGUGCGGACCUUGAGAACCGCUACAGUUAAAAUACAAGCUGUCAGAGAGCGCGAAGAAAAGGCACGGUGGAAAAUGAGCGAGAGAAGGCGUAGUAGAAAGGCAUGGAAGAAGGGGCCAAGAAGCAGGCGAUUCACGUUGGCCAGGGAAGGGAACUUCGUAGACUUCUCAGUCAGAGAAGCUCCGCGAGCCACGGCACACCUGGUCAUCGACGCGUGAACGCGAAUGUUGCGCGUGUUCCGUGUGUUGCGUUCGUCAGUGACCGGUAAAACGGUGAACAAUCGAAGCAAAAUCGCGUUUUCGAGGUCCUAGUAACGUGGGUCACUGAGCCAUCGCGGCAGUGAACGUGUUAGAAAAUCUUUCUCAAACGAAUCUCAGUUAGUCAGAUGAAUUCACCUCGAAAACGUCGAUCGGUGUUUCCGCUCGCUUUAGAAUGAUGCCGAGUGUUUACACGAGGUGAGCAACGGAAAUGGCGAGGCUGUGCAAGUGAACAUAAACGCGGUGUUUCGUGCUGCACCACAUUUCUCACGCAUCUGGCCAGAAUCCCGUUUGGAUUACGUCGUAGAAGGAGGUGGAACGCGCAGCAACCAAGAAAGGGGUUGGGCUGGUCUUUUCACAGGAAAUUGUGGUUCUGUGAAUGCCGUUUGGAUUACUCAAGAGCGUCCAACCGAUGCCUGAUUUCGGGAAUCAGCGCCAGGCAGCCCCGGAUCCUCGCAUCAUCCUCGUUUGAGAACAUCUCAGGCAUGAAGGAGCGCGAGAUGAAACUCUUUGGCUGCCGAUGGUCCUUUUGGAAUUUCGCGACUAAUCUCGCAGG